rnacentral:rRNA from 1 species
ACGGAAGGUGCGAGCGUUAAUCGGAAUUACUGGGCGUAAAGCGCACGUAGGUGGUUUUAUAAGUCGGAUGUGAAAGCCCCGGGCUUAACCUGGGAAUUGCAUCCGAGACUGUCUGACUUGAGUAUGCUAGAGGGAAGUGGAAUUCCAGGUGUAGCGGUGAAAUGCGUAGAUAUCUGGAGGAACACCGAAGGCGAAGGCAGUGUCCUGGGGAGUACCUGACGCUCAGGUGCGAAAGCCAGGGGAGCGAACGGGA